rnacentral:rRNA from 1 species
GUAGGUGGCAAGCGUUGUCCGGAAUUAUUGGGCGUAAAGCGCGCGCAGGCGGUUCUUUAAGUCUGAUGUGAAAGCCCACGGCUCAACCGUGGAGGGUCAUUGGAAACUGGAGAACUUGAGUACAGAAGAGGAAAGCGGAAUUCCACGUGUAGCGGUGAAAUGCGUAGAGAUGUGGAGGAACACCAGUGGCGAAGGCGGCUUUCUGGUCUGUAACUGACGCUGAGGCGCGAAAGCGUGGGGAGCAAACAGGGAUUAGAUACCCUGGUAGUCCACGCCGUAAACGAUGAGUGCUAAGUGUUAGGGGGGUUUCCGCCCCCUUAGUGCUGCAGCUAACGCAUUAAGCACUCCGCCCCGGGGAGUACGGCCGCAAGGCUG